CUGGCUAAUUUUUGUAUUUUUUAGUAGAGAUGAUGUCUCACUCUGUUUUCCAGGCUGGUCAAGGGAGGAACUUUUAGAUAAUUAGAGACUUCAAUGUGAAACAUACAGCUACAAUCUAAUGAAAAAAAUAGGAGAAUUUUUGAAUGGGAUUAAUACCUAGAAUAUACAAAGUACUCCUGCAAACCAACAAGAAAAAGACCCCACAUAUAGGAACCAUCGGAUCCCUGUGUACAGAUGAAGAACUGAGUCUUGGAAAGCUUAACUACCUUGCUCACAGUCACACGUUAAGGUCUAAAGUGAGAAAUUAAACCAAGUCUUCCAAUCUCAAAGACUUUAAAGGAAAAGCUACAAGCUACAAGAAUAAAGAAGUUCUUCAUGUAUAUUUAUGGGAAAAUUGCUAAGGUGUAGUCUCAAGUCCUAAAAAAGCAAAGUUCAGGAAGUGGACUCCCUGAAGAAACAGGAAAGAGCACAGGAGAUGAGGAACAAACACAGCCAAUGGUGAGGCCCUCAGCAGGGAGCAAGGAGGGGGUGCUGUUGUUAAUAAAAAAAGAAGAAAGAAGAUUUUCAUCUAAAAUGAGAAAAGAGGAGAGAAAACAGCUGCAUUUAUGCAAGAUGGGCAAAGACAUGGAAGAUACGGGCCCUCACUGUAUAGUAGCUAUAUCAGUCUUCUUGGGCUGCCCCAAGUCUCUGGUCUUGGAUGUUUCUGGUUGUCUGGCUGGACGGCUUAAACAACAGGAGUUAAUUUUCUUACAGUUUUGGAGGCUGGAAACCCAAG
rnacentral:lncRNA from 1 species